rnacentral:piRNA from 1 species
GGAAUAGAGAUGUAGGAGGCCCUG